GUUCAUUCAAGAAACAAAAACUGGAUCUAAGAUUGCAAUCCUAUACUCACGUACUCCAAUGGAAGGUCUCCAGACAGAGAAAUUAUCAUUCUCCAGAAAGAAUUUUUCAAGUAAACUGUCAGAGGUUAUCCUUAGGGCUGUACAACAUGAGGUGGGAUAUAAAUAUGAAGAACUAAGAAAGAAGACCCUGAAACUAUUAUCCAGACAGCUGAGCCACAGUAGUGGCUCAUCAGGAUCUCCUGUCUCAACCUGACUAAUUGGCAGUUGGACAUGUAGACGAUUACCCAUCCUGGUGCUUUGGAGAAGGAAUGGAAUGCAUGAAUGAGAUACAUGUGAUUGGAUGUUCUUCAGAGAGCCACAGUUGGCUACAUGUUUUCACUGAGCAAAACCAGGUGCCUGUGCCACACCCUGCAAGGAGUGCCGUUCCAGCCACGUGUGAGGGAGCUGCCUUCAGCAGCCGCAAUCCAGCAGACAAGGAACUACAUCCUGACUACGUUGGAAUGUAACCCCGCCGCCCCCCAAAAGACUUUGUUAAAAGGAACUUCUCUCUUGGAGGAUUUGUUAACUGAGUGCCUGAUUGAGAUCGCUAUAAAGGCCGCUUGACUGGAUGAAAAGUUCUCACUGAACUACGCAAGUGAUUCUUGAUGUUCAGAGCAAAAGAAGAGAAUACUUCUGCAGUCAAACAAUAAUGUUUGGUUCAAAUGGAUAGAAAACUGAAGCUUUAGAAGAGUGAUCUCUUUUGAAAACAUUUAAAAACUU